rnacentral:rRNA from 1 species
AUACGUAGGGAGCGAGCGUUGUCCGGAUUUACUGGGUGUAAAGGGUGCGUAGGCGGCUUUUUAAGUCAGGUGUGAAAACCGUGGGCUUAACUCACGGAUUGCAUUUGAAACUGAGGGGCUUGAGUGGAGCAGAGGCAGGCGGAAUUCCCGGUGUAGCGGUGAAAUGCGUAGAGAUCGGGAGGAACACCAGUGGCGAAGGCGGCCUGCUGGGCUUUAACUGACGCUGAGGCACGAAAGCAUGGGUAGCAAACAGGAUUAGAUACCCUGGUAGUCCAUGCCGUAAACGAUGAGUAUUAGGUGUAGGGGACGAUAGUCUUCUGUGCCGGAGCAAACGCAAUAAAUACUCCGCCUGGGGAGUACGGUCACAAGAUUAAA